rnacentral:rRNA from 1 species
CCUACGGGAGGCAGCAGUGAGGAAUAUUGGUCAAUGGACGAGAGUCUGAACCAGCCAAGUAGCGUGAAGGAUGACUGCCCUAUGGGUUGUAAACUUCUUUUAUAUGGGAAUAAAAUGUUCCACGUGUGGGAUUUUGUAUGUACCAUAUGAAUAAGGAUCGGCUAACUCCGUGCCAGCAGCCGCGGUAAUACGGAGGAUCCGAGCGUUAUCCGGAUUUAUUGGGUUUAAAGGGAGCGUAGGUGAAUUGUUAAGUCAGUUGUGAAAGUUUGCGGCUCAACCGUAAAAUUGCAGUUGAAACUGGCAGUCUUGAGUACAGUAGAGGUGGGCGGAAUUCGUGGUGUAGCGGUGAAAUGCUUAGAUAUCACGAAGAACUCCGAUUGCGAAGGCAGUUCACUGGACUGCAACUGACACUGAGGCUCGAAAGUGUGGGUAUCAAACAGGAUUAGAUACCCCAGUAGUC